rnacentral:rRNA from 1 species
GACGAACGCUGGCGGCGUGCUUAACACAUGCAAGUCGAACGGUAAGGCUCCAGCUUGCUGGGGUACACGGGUGGCGAACGGGUGAGUAACACGUGGGUGACCUGCCCUGCACUUCGGGAUAAGCCCGGGAAACUGGGUCUAAUACCGGAUAGGACCGCACCGUGAGGGUGUGGUGGAAAGUUUUUUCGGUGUGGGAUGGGCCCGCGGCCUAUCAGCUUGUUGGUGGGGUAAUGGCCUACCAAGGCGGCGACGGGUAGCCGGCCUGAGAGGGUGGACGGCCACAUUGGGACUGAGACACGGCCCAGACUCCUACGGGAGGCAGCAGUGGGGAAUAUUGCACAAUGGGCGGAAGCCUGAUGCAGCGACGCCGCGUGGGGGAUGACGGCCUUCGGGUUGUAAACUCCUUUCACCAUCGACGAAGGGUUUCUGACGGUAGAUGGAGAAGAAGCACCGGCUAACUACGUGCCAGCAGCCGCGGUAAUACGUAGGGUGCGAGCGUUGUCCGGAAUUACUGGGCGUAAAGAGCUCGUAGGUGGUUUGUCGCGUCGUCUGUGAAAUUCCGGGGCUUAACUCCGGGCGUGCAGGCGAUACGGGCAUAACUUGAGUACUGUAGGGGAGACUGGAAUUCCUGGUGUAGCGGUGAAAUGCGCAGAUAUCAGGAGGAACACCGGUGGCGAAGGCGGGUCUCUGGGCAGUAACUGACGCUGAGGAGCGAAAGCAUGGGGAGCGAACAGGAUUAGAUACCCUGGUAGUCCAUGCCGUAAACGGUGGGCGCUAGGUGUGGGUUUCCUUCCACGGGAUCCGUGCCGUAGCUAACGCAUUAAGCGCCCCGCCUGGGGAGUACGGCCGCAAGGCUAAAACUCAAAGGAAUUGACGGGGGCCCGCACAAGCGGCGGAGCAUGUGGAUUAAUUCGAUGCAACGCGAAGAACCUUACCUGGGCUUGACAUAUACAGGAUCGCGCCAGAGAUGGUGUUUCCCUUGUGGCUUGUAUACAGGUGGUGCAUGGUUGUCGUCAGCUCGUGUCGUGAGAUGUUGGGUUAAGUCCCGCAACGAGCGCAACCCUUGUCUUAUGUUGCCAGCACGUUGUGGUGGGGACUCGUAAGAAACUGCCGGGGUUAACUCGGAGGAAGGUGGGGAUGACGUCAAAUCAUCAUGCCCCUUAUGUCCAGGGCUUCACACAUGCUACAAUGGUCGGUACAGUGGGUUGCCAGUCCGUGAGGGCGAGCUAAUCCCGCAAAGCCGGUCUCAGUUCGGAUCGGGGUCUGCAACACGACCCCGUGAAGUCGGAGUCGCUAGUAAUCGCAGAUCAGCAACGCUGCGGUGAAUACGUUCCCGGGCCU